rnacentral:rRNA from 1 species
CAGUCGCCGCGGGAAUACGUAGGUGGCAAGCGUUGUCCGGAAUUAUUGGGCGUAAAGGGCUCGCAGGCGGUUUCUUAAGUCUGAUGUGAAAGCCCCCGGCUCAACCGGGGAGGGUCAUUGGAAACUAGGAAACUUGAGUGCAGAAGAGGAGAGUGGAAUUCCACGUGUAGCGGUGAAAUGCGUAGAGAUGUGGAGGAACACCAGUGGCGAAGGCGACUCUCUGGUCUGUAACUGACGCUGAGGAGCGAAAGCGUGGGGAGCGAACAGGAUUAGAUACCCCAGUAGUCCCUGUCUCUUAUAC